UUUAGUGUUAGUUAAAAAAAAAAAAGAAAAUGAAAAAGAUAAAAACAAAAGGUUGGACUAAAUUUUGGUAGUCUGAACUGAUGGGGAAAAGAUUAUAUAACUAUCAUAGAAUUACUUUGGCACCACAGAAAUGCUAUAGUGCCAUUGUAGACUAAAAUUUAAGGCCUGAUGGGCUAUAAAGAGCUUAGGCUAAGCUCAGGCCAUUGUCAAACAGGCGCUUUGCUUGCUAGAGGCCAAUUUCAACAUUGCGCCAUAUGACAUAAAAUACAUGUUAUGAAUUAUGCAAUAAAUUUUGUUUUUAAUGAAAGAAAAUCAUGUGGGCUCUUUCAAGUUUCAGUAGAGGCUGGUAAUACAUGGUGCUAGAUUUGAAAUAGAUCAAAUUAUUUGAUUAUUUGUGCAGUCGGCUUAAUGUUCAGCAACUGAAGCAUUGUUUUUGAAUUAUUCUACCAGCACGGUCUUCGCUCAAUUUGGGAGAAAUAUUAUGAAGAGGCUCAUGCUGUUGUAUAUGUAAUUGAUGCUACUUGUCCUUCACGUUUUGAAGAUUCAAAGUCUGCAUUAGGUGAGUGGUGUUCAGUUAUUAAUAUCAAAAAACACAACACUGAUGUAAAUUGGUAACAGCUUUCAUUGAAGCCAAGAGUAAUUGGUGGUAGGAUGACAUGCUAAUACCACAACCCUGUGUUACC
rnacentral:misc_RNA from 1 species